GACGAACGCUGGCGGCGUGCUUAACACAUGCAAGUCGAACGGUAAGGCCCUUCGGAGUACACGAGUGGCGAACGGGUGAGUAACACGUGGGUGAUCUGCCCUGCACUUCGGGAUAAGCCUGGGAAACUGGGUCUAAUACCGGAUAGGACCACUGCCUGCAUGGGUGGUGGUGGAAAGCUUUUGCGGUGUGGGAUGGGCCCGCGGCCUAUCAGCUUGUUGGUGGGGUGAUGGCCUACCAAGGCGACGACGGGUAGCCGGCCUGGGAGGGUGACCGGCCACGCUGGGACUGAGAUACGGUCCAGACUCCUACGGGAGGCAGCAGUGGGGAAUAUUGCACAAUGGGCGCAAGCCUGAUGCAGCGACGCCGCGUGAGGGAUGACGGCCUUCGGGUUGUAAACCUCUUUCAGCACCGACGAAGCGCAAGUGACGGUAGGUGCAGAAGAAGGACCGGCCAACUACAUGCCAGCAGCCGCGGUAA
rnacentral:rRNA from 1 species